UUUCCUCACUCCUCCUUUCGGCUUAGGAGUGGGUGACUUCUUCUCCUUCCCUUUGCCUUUGCCUUGCGGCUUGGCCUUGGAAGAGGAUGGCUUGUUGUAGACUACUGCAGAAGUCCCUACAACGUUCUCUUUCUUCAUAGUCUUCUCGGCAGUUACUAACAUAUUUAGUAACACAGAGAGAGUACUAUCCAUCUUAUUCAUAUUGUAGUUCAUUACGAACUGCGCGAAUGAAUCAGAAAGAGAAGCCAAUACGAAGUCCUGGGCCAAUUCCCCGUCAAGUGGAGUACCAAGGUUCUCCAAUUGUUCAAUGAAUCAUAUCAUCUUCAGUACAUGUUGAUGUACUAGAGCCCCUUUGACCAUCUUGGUCUUCACAAGUUCACAAACAAUGCUAAAGCGACGGUUGCGCGUCCCUUCACCAUAUAACUCCGUAAGAUGGAGUAUUAUGGAAGAUGCACUGUCCAUGCCCUCGUGCUGUCUCUGUAGCUCCUCAUUCAUGGAAGCCAACGAUAGCACUUGGCUUGUGUGUCUUCCUCAACGUGCUUGUCAAACUUAGCAUGUUCAUCCUCAGUAGCCUCAGGGCUGAGAGGUAUGUGAGGUGGAGCCUUGUCUAGUACGUAAACAAUCUUCUCCAAUGUUAGGAGAAUCUUGACAUUACGAUACCACGAUGGGAAAUUGUGCCCCUCUAGGCAAUGUUUGUCGAGUAUUUUCGCGAGUGUGCUUCCAACCAUAUCUAAAUACAUAAACAAUAAAAUAAAUAGUUUGAUUGUCGAUUAAGUCAAACGAUUCGGGUCUUUAAACCGAAUGACACCACCCACCAUUUUUGGCAAAUUCCAUAUCCCUCAAGAUGAAAUCCAGGAGUUUUCAAAGAAAGCUCCUAGCGGGUUAUGGGAGGCUCACUAUUACCAAACCCACCUCACGAUGAUACGAUGUUGGCUAGCAAAAAUAAUAAUGAGAGGGUACAAUUACCCAUUCACAAUAACCUCUUGUGAUUACCUAUCUUUUUGGCCUCUAGAGAACAAUGCUUCACGAUGAUACGAUGUUGGCAUCAUUUCUCUUAGUUAAGUUCUUUCCCACCAUGCCGGUUUAGAUAGGGGUUCAAGCAUGACCUCACGAUGAUACGAUGUUGGCCACACUCGUUGCCUACCUUAACCUCAUCAAAUGUUUUAAAUAAACUCCUCCUGCAUAUAAGCAUGCACUUUGCACUCCCCCAUGAUAGGGUGAAGGCGGUGUACAAGUCAUAAACGAUUGGAGCCUACCACGGUGGAAGGCCACCAAAAAGUGUUCAAAGCACUCUUACACUUUCAACUUAAUAUUGUAUGUUGGUUGAGGGAUUUUAAGGUCUCAUCUAUUUUAUUUAUUUAAUCACAUUCAAAUAAAUAAUGUCCUAUUACAACUACUAGUCCAAAGUUAA
rnacentral:lncRNA from 1 species